CAACUGAAGAGUUUGAUCAUGGCUCAGAUUGAACGCUGGCGGCAGGCCUAACACAUGCAAGUCGAGCGGAAACGAUCC
rnacentral:rRNA from 1 species